rnacentral:rRNA from 1 species
CUACGGGGCGCUCCAGUGGGGAAUAUUGGACAAUGGGGGAAACCCUGAUCCAGCAAUGCCGCGUGUGUGAAGAAGGCCUGCGGGUUGUAAAGCACUUUCGGUUGGGAGGACUGCUUCUAGCACUAAUAUUGUUGGAAGUUGACGUUACCUUCAGAGGAAGCACCGGCUAACUCCGUGCCAGCAGCCGCGGUAAUACGGAGGGUGCGAAGCGUUAAUCGGAAUUACUGGGCGUAAAGCGCGCGUAGGCGGCUAGAUCAGUCGGGUGUGAAAGCCCCGGGCUUAACCUGGGAACUGCAUCCGAUACUGUCUAGCUUGAGUACAGGAGAGGAGAGUGGAAUUCCACAUGUAGCGGUGAAAUGCGUAGAUAUGUGGAGGAACACCAAUGGCGAAGGCAGCUCUCUGGCCUGAUACUGACGCUGAGGUGCGAAAGCGUGGGGAGCAAACAGGAUUAGAUACCCGGGUAGUC